AUGGUGCAAUAUGUGACACAUAACAAUACCGCUGAGAAAUCCCUUAAUUCCUCUCCUUUGAACUUUGAGUCUUUCAAUUUUUUCAUAAUCUUCAUCAAUGGUGCAGUGCAAUCUGUAACGCAGAACAAUACCGCAGAGAUAUCGCUUAACUCCUCUCGAUUGAGCUUUGAGUCUUUCAAUUUCUUCAUAAUCUUCAUCAAUGAUGCAAUCCGUGAAGCAGAUCAAUACCAGAGAUACCGCUUAAUACUUCUCGGUUGA